rnacentral:lncRNA from 1 species
UGUCACCCUGAGCUAAUGUCUUAAGGAAGAACAAUUAUUCUUAACAAAUGCUGGAUUCAUCUCCAAAGUUAGAGCAAGACCUUAAAUGGGAAUGUAAGAAAUAAUUCACUGACUGGGAGGAUCAUCAUCACUUCCAAGGUGACUACCUUGUGUUCAGGGAGUAGAGGGAAAUCCAGAAGCAGGAGGAGAUAUGGUCCUUUCCCACAGGGAGAGUCUAGUCCCGUGGACUGAGGUGGGAUGCCACUCAAGGCACAAGGACUAAGUUGAAGAAAGACAAGGACAGACCAGGAGGCACUUUACAGAGCUCCAGAGGUCCUUUAUGGGUAUGUCAAGACAUCUAUCUUAGAUUUAAGUUUCUGCUACUGAGGAGAUUGGGCCUACCUGUGGAUGCCUUUGUACAGUGGCCAACACUUGCCAGACUAAUUGCUUCCUGAGCUAGGAAGAGCGUCCAGACAGAGACCUAGGAAGUUUGAUAUAUUGGGAUCCUUCAACUGCCGGGAUUCCAGAUGAUAAAUAAACUGCACGGUGGAAUUUGAAUCAACCUAUUCAGAGACUUGAGAGGAGUAAGAGGGGAUGCCCAGACUGGAAGACAUCAGUGAGGAUGAACACGAGGAAGUGAAGACCAUUAACGGUAUACAAUUAGCCAAAGAAGGGCAUCAGGCAAGGUAAGCCUCCGGGAAGGUAAGCCUUGGCUUGGGAACUAAGCAGAGAUGGCUGAUCAUUCACAUUUUGACAAGCUGUCCUUUUACUGGCCCAGGAGAGCUGCUUAGGUGAAGUGAGGAAAGUACAGACCGCAGGAAGAAUGAGGAACAGACUAUUUAGUAGUUUGAGGGAAAUCAAGGCCUGAAAUGCAAUAGGAACUAAUGUUCAUAUUCUCACAUGUAUCUUACAGGGGGAAAGGAAAUAGAUCAAAAAGUCAUUAAAUAAGGCGGGCUAAGGAGAGUAGUGCUGAAAUAGGAAGAUCUCAGGCCUGAUUCACAGGGUGUCAUGAUGUUCUUAUAGACGCUGGAGGCAGACUGUAGGGGAUCACUAGGAGAUUCCCCAUCAGGGAAUAUGAGCUAAUUAACUAGAAAACUAAGAUGACGGGAAAGCUAACAAGAUUCUUGAUGAGCCAUAAUGGAUCUAGGCUGCUAAGCUGCUCUACCUCUCCAACUCACCCACCUCCACACAAGGGCCAUUUCCCUUAAGAAGGCCCUCUUCCUUUUCAGCUCCAUCAGGAAGACUUUCAUAACUAAGGACCCCCACAAUGCCCUUCCCCACAAACAGCUAUUUGGAGCUUGGCCAGGCCAUGUCCCAC